GACAGCUUGUUCCAAAGCGCCACAAAGGAGACGUUACGCAAACAAAAGAGAGAGAGAGAGAGACGCGAGACGCAGAGAGGCAGGCCGGAGGAGGGACCUUCGGCGGCUGAUUCAUCAGGUGCUCCUGGUUUCCUGCCAUAUGAAGCCAAACAUUCGCGGUUUUGCUGGCCAAACAUCCCACGCUUUCUUCGUCUUCACCCACGCUCUCCAUUGGUGACCUGGGCCGUCCGCGCACUCGCCACCGGGCCGGCUUGCACGACGGCUGCCGUUUGAUUCACGCUGCAGCCAGCCGCCUCGCGGUUCAUUCUGCGGCUCGCCGAACACAACACUCCACCCGUGACAACACGGGACAUUGCAUUCUCCGGGAGAUGUCUGUCAUGCGACCAGUUCAUGUCGUGCAGGUGCCAGAGUCCAAAAUUCCAAAUGAGGUGAAAUACUGGCGUAUUAAUCGCGUUGUGUUAUGAACCCAAUGACCCGAGUUCGAUUCCCGGCCGUGGCGAAUAUAGUUGGCGAGUGAUAUCAGAACCGAUUAUGGGUCCCCCUUCACCAACACGCACUGACCAGCAUGGUAAAAGUACCCCCAGCGCUGACACAGCAUUAGUAGGCCUUCAUCCAGCGGUAGAUUGGCAAAGGGAUAUUGAUGCCUUUUUAAACAUCAUUACAGUAUUAUGAAUAACAAAAUAAAAAUUCUAAUAAUGACGCCCAUGCCCAAGUAACAUCUCUCUGGAGAACGAGAGCAUUGACUCACAGUAGGCCAACAACUGGUUAACAAAAGGACAGCGGACGGAAGAUCACAGACGGACGACGCACGGAUGCAUUUACAUUCCCCAGAAGUGUUUACGAGCUUACAGUACAGUGCAUCACCAAGGCUGACAGAUUAAUUUUCAGGAAGAGCCAUGGGGCGACAGCGCCACAUGGAGUCUGCGGAGUAACCUUUUAAAAAUUUAUUGUUAAUUACCUUUAGAGCGCAGCGCUUUUCAUCACAUCUGCUGAACAAAAUCAAAUCAGCCUUUACGCAAAGAAACACAUUUGUCGAAGUAAAAGUGGGUGAAACCAAGACCAUUUAAUACAUAAUCAUGCCAGCCUCAUUCAUGAGUUUUGUGUGCCACUGGAAAGAAUAGCACACUAUAAAAUUACAUUAAUAAGACACACUUUAGAAUUAUAUCUGGAACACUGCUCAGAUUUACGCUGCACAUUGUUGGUGAUCCAUCCAUUGGAGGAGAAUUUAGUUUCGUGAGUAAGUAAAUGUUAAAGA